rnacentral:rRNA from 1 species
UACGUAGGGGGCAAGCGUUGUCCGGAUUUAUUGGGCGUAAAGCGCGUGUAGGCGGCUUGGUAAGUCCGGUGUGAAACCCUGGGGCUCAACCCCAAGCCUGCACUGGAUACUGCCUCGCUUGAGUCCGGGAGGGGAGAGCGGAAUUCCUAGUGUAGCGGUGAAAUGCGAAGAUAUUAGGAAGAACACCGGUGGCGAAGGCGGCUCUCUGGAACGGUACUGACGCUGAGACGCGAAAGCGUGGGGAGCGAACAGGA